rnacentral:lncRNA from 1 species
UGAUUUAGCCCUAGGGGCCAUUGUAUGAUUUUAUACUGUUGCAGUAUCAUCAUAUUGAGAAUUCCAGGUAGUUUAGAUUUCAGUUACACUCGUGCGGGGAUGCCGAGUGAAUUUUUUAAAAUAGCGUUUAGACUGUUCCGAACUGUUGGGUGCCGUCGGGGUUGACGGUGGACCAGUAUCGCCUGUUUGGCGUCGGAUUGUAUCGAGGGCACGUUACUUGUUGGUUGUUAGACCAAUUAG